GCUUUUCUCUCUCUGGUGCCGGCUGGGAAGUGCUGUUUUGCUCUUCAGACACCUGAAAGGACCCUGAAAGCUGCAAGUUGCAUGGAAUGUCUCUGAUGUGUGCUCCCUGCAGCACCCUGCCUGCUCCCAGCACCUAUUCCUGGCUUUGAGUGCAUUAACCACAGCAUGCAGCUUGCCAGGGUAUCCAUGAACACUAAAAUUCAAGAUUGUCAAUGUCAUCUCCCCCCAAUGUGUACCUUAACUAUUACGACAUCAUCGUAUUUUGCAUGUGCUACAUGCUAUCUUGCGUUUAGAACAGUGUUCAUACAUGUUUGUGGGAAUCAUCGGUUCUUUGAACAAAAAGAUUGAUGAGUAAUCUGAAACAGGGAAAUGGAAAUAUGCAGAGAAAUGAAGAAGAAUCUCCAUGAAAAAUUGCUUGCAAUAAAAUUCUUAGUAUUUCUUUCAUCAUAGUAUGGGGCUGAAUUUCUAAUGUAAAAAAAACAGAAUGCAGUGCUCUUUAAACAUGUUUUCCUUUACUCAGAAUUCUUUUAGGAAGAUAGUCUUUUUUAGCUUACCAUGUGAUCUCUGUGUUAUUAGUCUUUCUCCUCUGUGAUAUUUCAGAUUCAUUGCUUUUAAGAAAUCUUCCAGCAGUGACUUUUAUAGGAAAUUUGAGAACAUGCAAUGUAUUUUGACCUUUUACUAUGUAUCGCAGCAUUAUUGCACAGAUCACUCUGAGCUUUCUGCCUGAUCGUGGAGGGAGACAACCAUUUAUCUUGUCUAAUGACUAACCAAAAGCUGUCUAGACAUUUGUGCCACCUUAAGAAUAUUUCCCAUUCUAUUGCUGCAGACUUUUUAAAAUAUAAAAAUGGUUAGAAUAAAAAUCAAAAUCAUUACAUGAUGUAGAACUCUACCAAAGCAGGGAAGAAAACUUGUGCUUAGAGUAAUCACCCACAAAAUUACAUUAGAUUCAUUCUCUGUCUUUUCAAGAGAUUUGUGAUCUGUUGCUGACUUUUUUUUAUGGAAUGGCAUAAAUAUGUGUAUAUAAUAUAUAUAUUUGUUCACUAUAUGUAUAGUUGAAAAUUGAGUUUUAGGUUAGUCAGUUGCAUCUUUACCUGCUUGAUCUUUCAGUUAUAGAGGGAUAUUUUCAGCUCAGUGUUAGUAAAAAUUCCAACCAUUUUCUGUCCAGAAAAUCAGAAAAAAAGAGAGAUUACAGCUAUUGAUCCAAUUUUUCAAAAGCUCAUUGACAGAAACCAGAUAAAAAUGGGAGGGCAUGAACAAGUCAUGCUUUAGUGCAUGAAAAGUACUUCUGAAACUGACUUACAGUGCGAGGUUAUUUAUUGAUUAAUUUGUGCUUCUGUCUCUAAUGUAUGCAUGCAAUUGAGCGUGCUAAGCACUGACUGUGCUAGUGUGUUCUGACAUUGCUGGGUCUUAGAUAUAAAUAAACGGACUGU
rnacentral:lncRNA from 7 species